UACGUAGGCAGCAAGCGUUGUUCGGAGUUACUGGGCGUAAAGAGUGUGUAGGCGGUUCUCUAAGUUUGGUGUGAAAUCUCCCGGCUCAACCGGGAGGGGGCGCCGAAAACUGGAGGGCUUGAGUGUGGGAGAGGAAAGCGGAAUUCCUGGUGUAGCGGUGAAAUGCGUAGAUAUCAGGAGGAACACCUGCGGUGUAGACGGCUUUCUGGACCACGACUGACGCUGAGACACGAAAGCGUGGGUAGCAAACAGG
rnacentral:rRNA from 1 species